CGUGGAGGCGGAGCCUGAGGGGCGUGGCUUCGGGGACAGCUCUGGGUGCUGGAUGUCCACAUGCCUGGAGUCUCCACUCGCAUCCUUUCUCAGCAGCGGCCUGAGCUCGCUCUCCCCACUGCAGAAGCGGAGGAUGAAGGUGCCCCCAAGGAAAAGGAAACAAAGCCUGCUCUGCUGGAGGUCUACUAAAAGUGACUGAGACCACUUGAGCCAAAGGCACUAUGAGGAAGAUGAUCAAGUUAUCUCAACCAAGACUUUGUUUAGGGAGGAAAUGGCUUGUCCCAGGAAGAAUAUAUCCUCCUGUGUGUAUAUAUGUGAAUGCAAGACCAAGUGAUUCUGCAACCUGUACACUCAGAAAAUUGAGAUA
rnacentral:lncRNA from 1 species